rnacentral:rRNA from 1 species
AGUGAACGCUGGCGGUAGGCUUAACACAUGCAAGUCGAACGGCAGCACAGUAACUUCUUGCUCUGACGGGUGGGGAGUCGGGGACGGGAGAGGAAGGCAACCGGACCUACAUUUUCGGGAGGGCUAAGGUAAGCGGAAGUAAGCUCAGAACGGAAACUACAUCCGCGUGAGAGCAUAGGAACUUCGGGCCUUGCGGGGAUGGAUAAGCGGAUGUCGGACUCGCUAGUUGGCUGGGUAAAGACCGACCAAGGCGACGAUCCGUAGCUGGACUGAGAGGAUGAUCGGCCACACUGGAACUGAGACACGGUCCAGACUCCUACGGGAGGCAGCAGUGGGGAAUAUUGGGCAAUGGGCGAAAGCCUGACCCAGCCAUGCCGAGUGGGUGACGAAGGCCUUCGGUUUGUAAAGCCCUUUUGUUGGGAAAGAACAGCAGUGGGUUAAAACGCCGCUGUUUUGACGGUACCCAAUGAAUAAGCACCGGCUAACUACGUG